rnacentral:rRNA from 1 species
CUACAAUGGCUGGUACAAUGCGAAGCGAAGCAGUGAUGUGAAGCAAAUCGCACCAAAGCCAGUCCCAGUUCGGAUAAGAGGCUGAAACUCGCCUCUUUGAAGUCGGAAUCGCUAGUAAUCGCAGAUCAGCACGUUGCGGUGAAUACGUUCCCGGGUCUUGUACACACCGCCCGUCAAACCAUGAGAGUCACCAACACCCGAAGUCCGCCUUGGCGGCCUAAGGUGGGGGAGAUGAUUGGGGUUAAGUCGUAACAAGGUACC